UUUUCCACGGAGCGCUCCAUUAAUUGGGAACACGAACGCCCGCGAAUACAGUUCAGACUUCAAAUCUCCGGCGAUCUCCGUCGCCGGAAGUCCGCCGAUUCGAGGUUCGCCGGAGGUCAUCCUCCGCCUGCUCGAGUUCUCUGCUACCUCCGGCCGCCGUGGACUUCAGGUGCUCUCUCCCUCGGGAGAAACGGGAGGAGGUCAUCUUCUGCGGCCGCGCACGACCGAGGGAGACGGGAACGAAAUUCAGAGACUCGCUCUCGGACAGAGGAGUUUGCUUGUUUUCUCGACUUCCCUCGUUGAUUUCGGGCCGUUGAUAAUCGCCGUUGAGGUCGCCGCUCGUUCGUCGUUCCCAAGAGGCGCAGUGAAUCCUCUGUUAUAUCCUGUAUUUCUGAUCCGAGGCUUCGGAGAAAUUGAUCACCGCUCGAUUCGUCUUCACCGGCGACGGCCAUCAUUGCCGACGCACCCAAGAUUUUCUGUUCUUUGAUUUGCUUGCCGGCCGUAGCAAGAUAUACAGCUUUGUCGUGGCACAGAGGCAGAGACCUCAAACUGCGCGUUGCUGCUGUGCUCAAUGCGAUGGUGGUUUUGCGGCGGUUAUCGGCGAGGAGAACAACGGACAAGAGUCGUUGAUGUGUAUAUUGCCGACUUCUGGUAACAUCCUUAAGUGCCCGGACAUCACUCACGGUCAAGUGCCCGUGAGCUUCCCGGAAGCAUCUUCGGUCAGGGUUUCUUUGUCGUGAAACGGGUUGGUGGAGGUUGCUGUCGGUUCGAGAGUGUCGUGAGUUUGUGACCCUCUUCUUGUUCUCGGGAAAAGAGGCGGCGGUUUUGGAAGAGAUGCAGGCGAGGCGCACGAACAGUUUGAGCAGGGGGAAGCGGGGCCUGGACUCGAGCUCGGGCGAGGAAGGGCAGCCUGAUCGGAAGCAACCUGCUCUUGCGAGGAAUCUUUCCUUGCCUCAAGCAAAUGAAGAAAGAGCCGAGAAAUGUACUACUCAAAUUUCGAUUGCUAGUUCUAGUGGUAUGAAUAUGAAGAUUGAACAAGCCAAAAGAUUUGCAGUCGCGCAAGCGCAACGUGAUGGUAGCACUGGAAACUACCGGAUCUUCGAUUCGCCCUAUGGAAAUUUUCUGGUACCUGUAGUUCCUACUCGUGCAGACCUAGGUGUAUAAUUGUUCUUGCUUUUGGCAAUUUCUCUGAACUGCAUCUUACCCACCAGUACUCAUUUUAAGAAGUUGAUACGUAGCAGUAAAAAUGUGCGGAGCUAUGUGUUCUGAGCAUCAUGCGCUUGACUGGUCAAUCUACUGUUAAGCCUUGCUGUUUACAGGCCAUGGCAUUGCAAUAGGUUCAUAAAACAACCCAGCAAUCUGUGCUCCUUAUCUCUUUAGUUAGUCAAAACAUAUUAGCGGUUGAAAAGAGCCGGAAUCCUCUGCACGUGCAUGCUGACUGGACUGGUAAAGAGUGCGCAAUAAUUUAAGGGACGCCCCAAAGUCAUCUUUGGUGUUUAGUAGGAUUAAAAGACUUUGCCAAGCCAUCUGUAAUAUAUAAUAUUAAGCUUGGAGCAGAUGCUCAAAAUCAGAUCGAACAGUCAAUUCAUAUUAAUGGCCCGUGAUGUGUCACGCGUGGAUCAAGUGGGAUUCGCCGUGCUCAUGUUUUUUGUGUUGAAUUUUUUAAGUAGUGAAGGGUAACGAUUCAUGUGCAACUUGCCAACUUCGCAAGUUGUAACUUUGCGCUGUUUUUGUCGUGUUGACUUUUGCUUUUAGCGUUUCACCGGUGGCAGGGUCAUGGGGCUUUGGGUUGUGAAAGUUCGGUCAACGCCUUUCCUUUUAUACUUACAAUUUGUGUCGUCUCGGAUCGAUACUAAAAUGAUCCCAAUCUAGGGCAAUGGCGGGAAUGUUUUGGCCCGUGUUUUUCCUUUUCGUCUCGGAUCGCGGCUUGAAUCGCCAGUUCCGUGUUUGUAAUUUGGUGUCGUCUCCCAUUAGAUUUGCUUGUAGUUCGAAAGUGUCAUCUUUUUAUUGCUUCUGGAAUUAUUUCUUGUAAGUAGGAUUCAAAGGGGACCUACGGAUAUGGUUCUUGGGUUAGGUACGGUUGCUUCGGUUUGAAUCAGGCAUGAGGCCCUUAGUUGAGUUGAUUAAUGUAUGAAAGUUCGGAAGGGCAUGACCAUGCGUUGCAUUCUUUGAUCAGAGUUGGAGAAUUUGUCGUCUCAUCUUAAA